AGGAUCAUUACCGAAUUGUCAACAUGAGUUGUUGCUGGUCCCCGGAUGGGGGCACGUGCACGCUCUGUUCACACAUCCACUCACACCUGUGCACCCUCCGUAGUUCUAUGGCUUGGGGGACUCUGUCCUCUCACCGUGGUUCUACGUCUUUACACACACACACCGUAAUAAAGUCCUAUGGAAUGUAUGUCGCGUUUAACGCAAUACAAUACAACUUUCAGCAACGGAUCUCUUGGCUCUCGCAUCGAUGAAGAACGCAGCGAAAUGCGAUAAGUAAUGUGAAUUGCAGAAUUCAGUGAAUCAUCGAAUCUUUGAACGCACCUUGCGCCCUUUGGCUAUUCUGAAGGGCAUGCCUGUUUGAGUAUCAUGAACACCUCAACUCUCAUGGUUCGCCGUGACGAGCUUGGACUUUGGGGGUCUUGCUGGCCUAUGGUCGGCUCCUCUCAAAUGGAUCAGCUUGCCAGUGUUUGGUGGCAUCACGGGUGUGAUAACUAUUUACGCUUGUGGUUUCCCACCAGGUAACCUUCAGCAAUGGAGGUUCGCUGGGGCUCAUAGAUGUCCCUCCGCAGCGAGGACAACUUUUGAACGUUUGAUCUCAAAUCAGGUAGGACUACCCGCUGAACUUAAGCAUAUCAAUAAGCGGAGGAAAAGAAACUAACAAGGAUUCCCCUAGUAACUGCGAGUGAAGCGGGAAAAGCUCAAAUUUAAAAUCUGGCGCGCCUCUGGUCGUCCGAGUUGUAGUCUGGAGAAG
rnacentral:rRNA from 1 species